ensembl:lncRNA
GGCGAGGGUGAAGUCCUUAUGUCGGGCAGCUCAUUGGAAUGUCUCAGUGCUCUCUGCGAUUCCCACGGCCGUGGCCCAAAAGCGACCUCCAGGCAGAUGGGAAAAUCCGCCUUUUUGUAGGAACAUGAAAAAGUCUUUGAAGACUGCUCGUCUCUGCAUCCUGUUUGGAAAUGUAGGAGGGCCUGAGCAAAUGGAAAGCGCCCGUUCCGUUAGGGUAUCAGGUCUGGAGUAGAGAAGGGUGGAAUUUGGGCCUUCCUUGGAAAGUUCACAAGAAUGAAACCUGUUUAGAGAACAGUUCCUGUGGAGGAUGGCUAAUGCCUGGAGUGUGUUACCAAAAGUCUCACUUUUCAGAGAUUUUUAUAGAGAAAAUAACCUCAUUGUUUCAGGAGACCGAUCAUGUGUUGUUUUCUUAUGGGGCGUUUACAUCAUUUGUUUAAUCCAGGAGCCCCAGCCCUCAGCCACGGCAGACAUUUCUGAUCGAUCCACAGACUGGAGAUUUAGCCUCAGAACCUUUCUUAACACAGCUCUCCAUUUCCAAUCAGUAAACACGAGUGGAAACCCUCCUGCCGACUCUGGACUCCACGAUCCCACGUUCAUCACCAUUUGCGGAGAAACGCUUUAAACAUCACAGUAUCCUCUAACAACAGCAACACGUACCUGAGGAACGCCAUACCGCGGAUGCAGCCUCACGCGGUCCCGUGUCGCCGCUCUACCCACAAGAAAACAGACGCCUGAGUCGGCCAGGGUCCCUCAGCCAGUGAGAGGUUCUGGGAUGCGGACCUGGGGUCCCCACCUUCCUAGUCUGUGAUCUUGUCAUUGGAGGACGUUCUCUAGACCAUAUUCCACUUGUCUUACAAUUAUGCCAAAGACUGGAACAUCAGCUUCAGAGAUGUUUGGGACCAAGGAUUCUUGCUCAAUACACCUUUGUGCUCUACAACCUUCCUUGUGGUGUCCAGUGCAGGAAAGGCAGAAAACUUCCCUUGGGCUCUGCUGUGUGACUUGUUUGAGUAACUCUACCUCUCUGAGCCUCAGUUUCCUCAUCUGUAGAAUGGGGAGACUAAUGGAACUUUGCCUGCCUUCCAGGAGUACACUGAGGGUCACCUGACAUAGUCGAUUUGAACGUGCUUUGCAAACUGUGAAGUGUUCUGGAUGCUUGUAAGUCACGUGUGAGCAAGCUGUGGGGAAUCGUCUCUCCAUCAGACGCGUGUGUUUGAUGUUGGCUUUUAAUCUCAAACGGCCAAGAGAGGGGAGCCUUGAAUGCCAAUGGGAUUUGAAACUCCUUCAAGGGUUCCGUAUACUUUCUAAGUUCCAGGUUGGCCGAGAUUAUGCAACGGCUGUGAUGAACCCUCCUCCUUUCUGGACUCAUCAAGGGCUCAUCACUUGUCCCAUAGGCUGGGCAAAAUCUUGAAGUGACACCAUGUUGGGGGUUGCGGGAAAGACGCCUUACAAGUGACAGAAUCUAAUCCUUCGUUCCCACGAGGAAUAAUGAUAAUGGUACCAGCUUCUGCUUGCCGAGUCCCAUCGAUGUACUAGUCGCUCUACAUGUGAUGACUGCAGAGUAGGCACCUGGUGCCCACUUUACAGAUGGGGAACUUGUGGCUUGGACAGCUCAAUAAGAAGGAAACUUCUCUACGUCACAAAAUUUGGAGGUGGCAGAAUUGAGAGUGGGAUCCAUGCUCUUUCACCCAAAGUCCAUGUUCCCUUUAGGACGCCAUGCUGGUUUUUGCUUUCCGCCAGACAACCAAUCAGCUCACCAAUCAACAAAUGAACAACCAUCCACCCAACCAAUAAAAACCAACCAAUAAUUAAUCAAUCAACUAACCAUCCAUCCAUCCAACCAACCAACCAACCAGCUAAUGAACAACCAUUCACAACUAAUCAAUAAUUAGUGAACCAACCAACCAACUGGUUAACAACCAGCCACCAUCCAAGCAACAACAUGCGUUGCUACCAGUCGUGUGCUCAGCACUGAGCUUUGGGACGGAGAGAACCCCCUGUCCCAUCCUCAGGGAACUGCCGGCCUGUGGGAAAGCAAGGACCACGGUCCUGCUCACAGCACCGGCCCCAAUUGUCUGUUCCGCAUCUGCCUCCUCAGCUGGGUGGGACUUCCCCAAGGCGAGGGUGACACCUUGGUCGUCCUUGUAGAGUUAGAGCCCAGAACAGGAGCAGCACAUGCAUGCACACAUUCACACAUGCAUGCACACACACACAACAUGGAAUAACUCAGAACACUAUGGAAUGAAUGAAGGAGUCUUAUCAGAAGUGGCUCGGAGGGUCAGAUCCAUCUCAGAGGGUUUGUGCGAAAGGAAGGUUAGACGAUGCUCUGGUCUGGAGAAUUCCCUGCUGGGUGGAGCAAAACAAAUACUUCCAGGGACGCUGCCUUCUGCUGAAGAGCUCUCACUGGGCCCUGUCCUGGACGGGGAGCACGCCGUGGCGGAAAGAGCCCCAGAUUGGGGUCAGGGGUCUGAGCCCAGCUGAGCCACUAACACCUUGGGUGGCCUUGGACGCCUAGCCUCAGUCACCCCCCCUCCACCGCCGCUCCCACAUUUUAUGGACGAGGCCACUGAGGCCCCAAGACCUGAGUUCGCCCCUCUCCAAGGCCCCUUCCAGCUCUGGCAUUUCCAGCCUUUUCUGGCUGCUCAUUAACGGAGUAUUUUCGUUUUCCAAUCCGCAUUCCAGCCUCCUCCCGCGAGCCUCGACCCCUCUGGCAGGGGAGCGGGCACUGUGCGCAGUUCUCUGGAACGCUCCGGGGACCCUCGCCCGUCUCCCACCGGAGCGGCCAGAGGCUAACUGGCAGGCACGGUCGCCUCCCGUACGGGCCCCGCAGACGUGCGCUCGGGGCCGGGGAGCCGGCGCUGCCGGGAAGCACGCGCUCCAUCUCUCUGUCUCUGUUACAGGCCCCGCGGUUCACCGUCUGCUCGGAAAUUGGGAUAAAACAGAAGACUUCAAAGAAAUUCCAUACUGGCAGCAGCCUGGCUGGAGCGAGGACCACAGAUGCCUCCCGUCCAGCCCUCCGAGGUCCGAGCCUACUCUCUCUGCGCUGGGGGGCGUUUGGGGGCCGAGCCGAGAAGCGGGGUGCCAGCUGGCCGCUCCUACUGCGAGCUCUCGCCAACGCUCACUCCCUCGGGCAAGAAGUGCUGAGAAAAGAGAGAGAGGAAGAAGACGACGGGAGGAGGUUGUUGCAAGUCAGUCUCCUCCAGCAGUUGGAGCUGCUGCCUCAGCCCCCGCAGCGUGCAGCCUCAGACUAGAAACAGGGCCGGUUGGAAUCACGGUGUCUCGUGUGUGUUAAAGACCCUGGCUUUCAAAAAAGACGAAUGCAAAGCAUCUCACUCAUUAUUUCUAUUGAUUACAUAAAGAAAUAAUAUUUUGGGUAUAUUGGUCAAAUAAAUACAUUUGUUUCUUUUUA